UACGUAGGGUGCAAGCGUUAAUCGGAAUUACUGGGCGUAAAGCGUGCGCAGGCGGUUGUGCAAGACCGAUGUGAAAUCCCCGGGCUUAACCUGGGAAUGGCAUUGGUGACUGCACGGCUAGAGUGUGUCAGAGGGGGGUAGAAUUCCACGUGUAGCAGUGAAAUGCGUAGAGAUGCGGAGGAACACCGAUGGCGAAGGCAGCCCCCUGGGCCAACACUGACGCUCAGGCACGAAAGCGUGGGGAGCAAACAGG
rnacentral:rRNA from 1 species